AUUUGAUAUUCUGGACAUUUAAUGAUAAACUUAUUAAAUUGCUCCCAAUAUUCAUGGAGCGUUUCACCAAAUUUUUGCUUGAUACUAUAUAUCUCCUUCCUCAGAAU